AUGCUGCUUGGUCAAGGUCGAUUUGCACAACAACAGACAGGAUAUCCAGUGCAGGUGUUUAAGCAGGUGAAUCAGAUUGCCAUAAGGGCUUGGAAAUCAUUGCCCAACAGAGGAGAAGUUAGUAAAAACUUGACUCUCAUAUUGACUCCCCAGAUGGACACACAGGUGAUUGAGGUUAUGGUCUCAUCACCACGAGGUAUUGUGUCCAUCUCCCCUGGGAUCGACCAGAUCAGGUGUUGACGUGGGCGAGAGGGUCUGUUUGUGUGUUUCCACAGGACCAGACGGAACCUCUUUGGGUGCCGGAGAGAUUGGUGAGACGCUGCAAGAAUGAGGAUCCUGAUCCAGUUGCCCCUGUGGAUGUGGUGGAUGAUCCCACAAGCACAAAGGAUGGAGCCGAGAUGAGAGAUCCUUUCGGUAUUCCAGAAGCCGAUACCAGCUCAACAUGA
rnacentral:lncRNA from 1 species